UAGGGAAUAUUGGACAAUGGGGGCAACCCUGAUCCAGCCAUGCCGCGUGAGUGAAGAAGGCCCUCGGGUUGUAAAGCUCUUUUGUCCGGAAAGAAAAGCUUCGGGUUAAUACCCCGGGGUUCUGACGGUACCGGAAGAAUAAGCACCGGCUAACUUCGUGCCAGCAGCCGCGGUAAUACGAAGGGUGCAAGCGUUACUCGGAAUUACUGGGCGUAAAGCGUGCGUAGGUGGUUGUUUAAGUCUGAUGUGAAAGCCCUGGGCUCAACCUGGGAAUGGCAUUGGAAACUGGGCAGCUACAGUGCGGUAGAGGGUAGUGGAAGUCCCGGUGUAGCAGUGAAAUGCGUAGAGAUCGGGAGGAACAUCUGUGGCGAAGGGGACUGCCUGGACCAGCACUGACACUGAGGCACGAAAGCGUGGGGAGCAAACA
rnacentral:rRNA from 1 species